UAGGUUGACCCCAGGGACUCCACCUAUAUUUCAUUUAAUUAGUUAUAAUUUGGCCCAUACAUGAAUAUAUAUUGUUUUAGUGUGGGGAUCUCAACCGUUUCCAAGUUCUCAAACAGGAGGGUUGGGGGGACCACAGGGACUUCCCCUAUAUUUUAUUUUAUUUGUUAUAUUGUCCCAUACAUGAGUAUAUAUGGUUUAGGGGUAAGGAUCUUGACCAUUU
rnacentral:lncRNA from 1 species